rnacentral:rRNA from 1 species
AUUGAACGCUGGCGGCAGGCCUAACACAUGCAAGUCGAGCGGAUGAGGGAAGCUUGCUUCCCGAUUUAGCGGUGGACGGGUGAGUAAUGCCUAGGAAUCUGCCUAUUAGUGGGGGAUAACGUUCCGAAAGGAACGCUAAUACCGCAUACGUGCUACGGGAGAAAGUGGGGGAUCUUCGGACCUCACGCUAAUAGAUGAGCCUAGGUCGGAUUAGCUAGUUGGUGGGGUAACGGCUCACCAAGGCGACGAUCCGUAGCUGGUCUGAGAGGAUGAUCAGCCACACUGGAACUGAGACACGGUCCAGACUCCUACGGGAGGCAGCAGUGGGGAAUAUUGGACAAUGGGCGAAAGCCUGAUCCAGCCAUGCCGCGUGUGUGAAGAAGGUCUUCGGAUUGUAAAGCACUUUAAGUUGGGAGGAAGGGUUGUAAGCUAAUAUCUUGCAGCUUUGACGUUACCAACAGAAUAAGCAUCGGCUAACUCUGUGCCAGCCGCCGCAGUAA